rnacentral:rRNA from 1 species
CCUACGGGUGGCAGCAGUGGGGAAUAUUGCACAAUGGGGGGAACCCUGCUGCAGCGACGCCGCGUGAGUGAAGAAGUAUUUCGGUAUGUAAAGCUCUAUCAGCAGGGAAGAAAAUGACGGUACCUGACUAAGAAGCCCGGGCUACCGACGUGCCAGCAGCCGCGGUAAUACGGAGGGGGCAAGCGUUAUCCGGAUUUACUGGGUGUAAAGGGAGAGUAGUCGGGUAUGCAAGUCUGACGGGCAAGCCCAAGGCUCAACCAUGGGACUGCUUUGGAAACUGUAAAACUGCAGUGCAGGAGAGGUAAGCGGAAUUCCUGGUGUAGCGGUGAAAUGCGUAGAUAUUAGGAGGAACACCUGUGGCGAAGGCGGCUUACUGGACUGUAACUGACGUUGCGGCUCGAAGGCGUGGGGAGCAAACAGGAUUAGAUACCCGUGUAGUC